AUACUCAUUUUGUAUUUGUAUUUGCAUCUAGAUAAGAUCAUAGGAUGGAUAAAGCCUGGACUCGGGACUCUGAACUCUGGACUCUGGACUCUGGACUGGAUAUGCAUAUUUGAUGCUCUCUCUCUCUCUCCCCAUUAUAAUUUAUGGUCUUUCUUCUGACCCUUCUGUCUGACUGCAAAUAAACUCGCUGUUCCCUCAUGCAUAUCGUGUCAAAUAUAUGCAUAAAAG
rnacentral:lncRNA from 1 species